rnacentral:siRNA from 1 species
UUGAGGAACGCUACAUCAUGC